AAGCUAAUAAGGUGAGGAGAGAAGCGGAGAGAGACGAGAAGAGCGAGAAAACGGAGGCUUCAUUUGCAUGAACACCCCAGGCCUAUAUAAAUUGAGGA